GCCCGAGUGGCGGAACCAGGUAUACGCGCAGCACUUAAAAUGCUGUGAGCCUAAAGCUCGUGUCGGUUCGACUCCGACCUCGGGCA
rnacentral:tRNA from 1 species